UGGGGAACUUCCUGCUAUUACCUUUCUCAUAUUCCUCAUAUUCUCAUUCCUCAGUCUUUCAGCCAGGGGAAAAAGGAUUUGCAUCAAUAGAAUAAAGAGGCCAUUCUAGAGUACAUUAUGAUGAACUUGUUUAAACAUAAUUUUUAAAAUAUAUACACAAGGAAAUAUACAAACCAUCUGAGAAAAAGAAUUGCCUGUGGCUUUAGCAUAAGAGAUGUGCUACAGAUGAGAAAAGCUGUGGACAAAAGACUUCAAGAGCAGUUUUUUCAAGCUGAAAUUGGCUCUGCUUCAAAUAUUCUUGAAAGACUAAUUUUCUUUGGAUGGUAGUGACCGUGGAGCGGAUUUUAUAUCUUCCAAGAGGGACACUUGAGGUAUUUCUGGUCAUAUGGCAGACAUUUCUGAAGCUUGAAAUGAUAGACUUCUGCUUGGGCUUCCACUGCUGCUUGAUGAGACCAUGUAUAUUCUCUGUCCUGUGUUACACCUGGCAGCUCUCCAUGGGUUUCUUCCCCACCUCAGCAGAACCAAAGUGAAGCAAUUUACUUUAACAUUCUUGAUUUGAUCUCCUUCUCCCUAGAAAAUAUUUUUCUAUCACUUGACUACCAGCUAUGAGGGUUGUUGCAACAGGCUGCCUACAAGGAAAAAACAGAACUCUAGAAAAGUUUGGUUUAUGCUGGAAAGAGAAAGAGAGUGUGUCAAAAUGCUGGGUUAGAUACCCAUUCAGCCUACUGUUAUGAAUGCUAAUGGGGCUACAGUGAUUUCACAGCGUGCUGGAAAUGAGACACAGAAUAAAGCCUGCAUUCUGAAAUAGCUGAUCCGUCUGUGAGAAGGAAAAGUCACAAAAAAGCUCUUGUGGACCUUGUGGACUUAGUGUUUUGUUCACAUGAAGGAGUGACAUGGAAUCAGCAGAGCCACAGGCAUUAUGAUUAAACUAAUUUCAUAGGCAGCAGAAAGGAAAAAAAGCUGCAAGGAAAGGCAUAACUAAAAUGUUCUAAGGCUGCAAAAUGCAGUUCAGUUACAGUUCCUCUUCUGAGACUUCAUCAUGCACCUGGGGACAGAGUUAUAUUGGUAUGGAAAAUGUUGGGCAGUCUGAAACAGGGGUGACAGUAGAAAGCCAGGCAGCAACCACUACCUUAAUUAAGGUUCAGGGGUUGUCCUGAGGCUUGUCCACAUACUAGAGACAGUUUUCUCAUGCAUUAGAACUGCAGAACACGCUAAAAUUGUGGCCCCAGGAUACUACUUUCAGUUGCCUCUCCAGGGAGUAUAUUUAGCUUAUAUUUUGUAUGUCUCAUGUGUCUUAUUGCUCUGGCCAGUGUGUGGCUACAUAUUUUGUGGAGCUUGGGGGUCACACGUAGCCUAGCAUGUGACAAAUUCUAGCAAGAAUUUAUAGCUAUGAAGGCCCAGAUGCCUGAAAAGUGUGCAAGGCAUGACUGGGGAUAUGGGUUACAGCAGCCUCCGUGUCAGCACCUGCUGUCAAGCACAAGACACAUCUCAGCACCUGAGCCACUCUUUGAAGUUUAGCAUUUGCCUGCAGCCAAGAAAUUUCCACCCCACUGGAGUAUGGAUUAGCACAGUACAUGGAAAAUAAGCCUUCAAAAUCAGUUUAUAAUUUGUCAUUUUUACUUUUCUGUAUGAUUUUGUAAAUGUUAGCGAGCAGAACUAAGAGUUAGGGACUCUGGGAGGGCAGGUGAGGUGGUAACAGAUGAUGUAGAUUUGCAGAACAAUAACAAACUAAUAAGAUAACAGCAUGCUUUCACAGAUUUUUAAACCAUGUUUUUAUUUUAAACCACCUGGUUAUUCUAUGCUGAAACUGUAGAAUUCUGCAGAAGAUGGUACUUGUUAGCUAUAAACACUUAAAUUGCUAAACCACCAAGCUUCUGAAAAAUAUAUCUGUUUUUUCUAACAAAAAUUGAAGAGUAUCAGGCUGGUGACCAGACAACAUUCGCAAACAGGAGUCAAUGUUCAAGUAAAUACAUUGAAUUUGUGCAAGCUCGAGUAGCAACAAAGAGCACCACAUCAAAACCUUAGAAAACAGAAAACUGUUUUGUUCUAUUUACCCUGAUUUAGACUAAGGAAUCUUUGGGAAUCAACAGAUUACAAAAGCAAGUUAGUGUUUAGGGCAACAAUGCUGUGUCAUUUGUGGAGUAAUAAUGUUCUCUUUAACACCAAAAAUCUCAUUUAC